GAUAAACGCUGGCGGCGCACAUAAGACAUGCAAGUCGAACGGACUUAACCAUUAGUUUACUAUUGGAGCGGUUAGUGGCGGACUGGUGAGUAACACGUAAGCAACCUGCCUAUCAGAGGGGGAACAACAGUUAGAAAUGACUGCUAAUACCGCAUAUGCCUUUAGCAACACAUGUUGCAAAAGGGAAAGGAGCAAUCCACUGAUAGAUGGGCUUGCGUCUGAUUAGCUAGUUGGUGGGGUAACGGCCUACCAAGGCGACGAUCAGUAGCCGGACUGAGAGGUUGAACGGCCACAUUGGGACUGGGAUACGGCCCAG
rnacentral:rRNA from 1 species